rnacentral:tRNA from 1 species
GGACAGGUGGCGGAGCGGUUGAACGCGCUGGUCUCGAAAACCAGUAUGCAUUUCGGUGCAUCGUGGGUUCGAAUCCCACCCUGUCCG